CCCUCCUCCGCCAGCCGCGUCCUCCCGGGCUCGGUGAGGAACUGUCCCUGGAGGAGCCGCGGGACGCCGAAACCAGCCAAUGGGAAGCGGCGAGACGCGGAGAUUGGCACUGUAGAUGGGAAGUGGGUUCCUGGCUCAUCUGUUGAUGCAGUGCCAGAAGUGAGCUGCAGAACAGGAGUUACUGGAGAUGACGGUGACCGUGAGUCCUGAAGGAGGAAUAUUGAUCUCAGCGUUACUUUGACCAUUAAUGAAUUAUGAUGGCAAUAAGCAGAGACGCACACCUCCAGCCUCCUGGGAGCUUAAUCUUCUGCUACAGCGUUUGCAUUUGCAUAAACCUUUUCCCUCUGCCACUGGAGAUGCAGAAAUAAAUGGCAUGGUUUCUGCCUCCAAGAUCUAUCAGUCUAAUGGGAAGAUGGUCACCGAAAGAGCUAACUGUGAGAUGUAAUCCAACAAUCAAGGAUCCAAUGACUGGCCUCAGGGAGCAGAAUAAAAGACACAGUGAUAAACAUUGUCGGUGAA